rnacentral:lncRNA from 1 species
GCCCCAGAUUUUACAUUGGAUGAAGUCCUCCAACUCAAAGCUUGCAUUAAGGGACUUGAGGAUGUCUUGGACAGUGAAUUCUUAGAUUCUGAAAGGCAAGCAACCAAACCAGGAAGUUACAUCUUUGACCUAUUCAUGAAAGUGAACAUCACCAAGGAGAACAAGAGCAUUUAUCUCUCUCUUUUGGAGAAGAUUGUCAGUUAUAUAACAA